UGAUUCUGGCUCAGGAUGAACGCUGGCGGCGUGCUUAACACAUGCAAGUCGAACGGGAUCCAUCAGGCUUUGCUUGGUGGUGAGAGUGGCGAACGGGUGAGUAAUGCGUGACCGACCUGCCCCAUACACCGGAAUAGCUCCUGGAAACGGGUGGUAAUGCCGGAUGCUCCAGUUGAUCGCAUGGUCUUCUGGGAAAGCUUUCGCGGUAUGGGAUGGGGUCGCGUCCUAUCAGCUUGACGGCGGGGUAACGGCCCACCGUGGCUUCGACGGGUAGCCGGCCUGAGAGGGCGACCGGCCACAUUGGGACUGAGAUACGGCCCAGACUCCUACGGGAGGCAGCAGUGGGGAAUAUUGCACAAUGGGCGCAAGCUGAUGCAGCGACGCCGCGUGAGGGAUGGAGGCCUUCGGGUUGUAAACCUCUUUUAUCGGGGAGCAAGCGAGAGUGAGUUUACCCGUUGAAUAAGCACCGGCUAACUACGUGCCAGCAGCCGCGGUAAUACGUAGGGUGCAAGCGUUAUCCGGAAUUAUUGGGCGUAAAGGGCUCGUAGGCGGUUCGUCGCGUCCGGUGUGAAAGUCCACCGCUUAACGGUGGAUCCGCGCCGGGUACGGGCGGGCUUGAGUGCGGUAGGGGAGACUGGAAUUCCCGGUGUAACGGUGGAAUGUGUAGAUAUCGGGAAGAACACCAAUGGCGAAGGCAGGUCUCUGGGCCGUUACUGACGCUGAGGAGCGAAAGCKGNGGGAGCGAACAGGAUUAGAUACCCUGGUAGUCCACGCCGUAAACGGUGGAUGCUGGAUGUGGGGCCCGUUCCACGGGUUCCGUGUCGGAGCUAACGCGUUAAGCAUCCCGCCUGGGGAGUACGGCCGCAAGGUAAAAACUCAAAGAAAUUGACGGGGGCCCGCACAAGCGGCGGACAUGCGGAUUAAUUCGAUGCAACGCGAAGAACCUUACCUGGGCUUGACAUGUUCCCGACGGUCGUAGAGAUACGGCUUCCCUUCGGGGCGGGUUCACAGGUGGUGCAUGGUCGUCGUCAGCUCGUGUCGUGAGAUGUUGGGUUAAGUCCGAACGACGCACCCUCGCCGUGUGCAGCGAUAUGCGGGAAUACGGACGCGGUAAUCGAG
rnacentral:rRNA from 1 species